AGUUGAUUCGUUUUCUGCGCUCGACAGAACCAGAAAAGUACAGAAUAAUUGAAGCUUUUCCUUGUCUUGUUUAUUACAUAUUUAAAAUGAAAGGAUGCAGAAUAUUAGCUCGAAUGAUAAGAUAGUUUAGUUUGUCAAAAACGAACAGGAGCGACCUCAUUAGCAACGUAACGAGAAUUCGAUAGCUCGAUGUUGUACAAUGCGGGCAAGUUCGGACCAGUUCGGACCAGUUCGGACCAGUUCGGACUAGUAGAAAAUACGCGGGAAACGUGUAAAAAGAUAUGUGCGAAAACUCGAGUGUUCCUGUUGUAUAUUUUGGUAGGAUGUACUUGGACUUUCCUUGAUUAAAGGAAACGAUAAGAAGAGGAGCCUGCCGUCAUUCGCUUUCAAUCUUAAAAGACGUCUAAGAGAUAAUAAAAGGAGAGUCGAAGGAUAACCCAAGGACAGCUCAGCCACAUAGAACCUUCUGAGAAAAAAAUACGAACAAAGAAGGCGAAUGGUACGACCCGAAUAACGAACACCGACGUAUGUACUUAGUUACGUUAGAAAGAACAUUUUGAUCGACGAAAAUUUGUUCGAUGCGAUCGUUGCGAUUCGACAUCGAAUAAACACGAAGAAACUCGUCAUCGUGCGCAGGCCUUGUGGGAAAUAUUCUUACACAAGAUUCGAUUCGUCAAGAUUCGUAGUGCUCAUUUGAUACACCAUGAAAAAUUUGGUACUGGGGCUGUACAAAAUGUAUUAUCCCCACUUCCUAUUAUACAUAUAAUAUAUAAUAAUUAUUAACGUUCCUGCUGGAGUAGUGAUGUAAAAAAAAAAGAAAAAAAAAAAAAGAAAGAAAACACAAAAACGUGAUGGAAACUCUGAUGCUCGACUUGCGAUUGCAUGCGAUAUUUGGAUAAUGAAUCAACGCUACUUUGAGAAGCAAAGGAAGGCAAGGAACGAAACGAAUUCGGAAUGAAAUGGGUUGCAGUGUAAAGGCUGGAUUACAUCGGUGACGAAUUGCUGUUAUAUGUACAUACAUAUUGUAUUGUAUGUAUGUACAUACAUACACGAGCGGACGAAUGGACAUAAAACAGUCGAGUGUGUGUCGCGAGAGUCGAUCAGUGCCGGACGUCCAAUGAUUUUCAACGUGUAAAUCAAGUGAGAAGCGAAGGAGAUAUGCAACAGUCCAGCGUUGCGCGAGAUGCUUCGGGUGAUAACGUCGCCCAGGGUGGAGGAGGAGAGGGUGUCACUAGGUGUUCUCUGUUUCUACCGAUCGUAUUCAAUUUGACUCUGUACGCGUCACUACCUCGCUCACCUAUUUCAACUACUUUGUUGGUCUUUGCCGUCGCGUCGUCUAGCUGGAAUCAUUUUGAUUCCUAAAGACUUUGAUUUCGCAAUCAACCGAUAUCUCUAUGUAGAUCAUGCUCCAUAAGAAACGAUUUUAUAAUCUGUGAAAGGACGAAGAAU